UUCAUUGAGGGCAGUACAAGAGCAGAGUGAAAAUAUAAUACUUUUGUUUCCAAUUUCCCCUGAAGCUCUUCUUUCUUGGGCCAUUGAUGGACAUUCCACAGAGAAAAAACAAUAGAGGUAAUAAAACAUGGCCAUGGAAUGCAAGGAGAAGAAAGAAAUUCAACCUUCUGUCCCCAACCACCCAGAUCUCAAUAAGCUCUGCCUUUACUACCCAAUGAAUGGAAUUUCCACUCAGGAAAUCAAGGAUCCAGCAAUGGACUGCAACAGAAAUGAGAAAAUAUUGGGCUGGAAAAGACUCAUCAAACAAGCAUUAAAACAGUGGACCGAGGGCACCCAUGAUGUGUGCAUGCAUCGUACUGCUGUCAAGAGCAUUUGAGUGCACGGUGGGAAAAUAAGCAUAGUGGGCACCGGAAGUUACCACAGUUACUUCAGAGGAACUUUUAACUUGAAGUUGCUCCUUCAAUCAUGAUUGCUGCAUGGGAAAGCCAUGAUCAAUGAUUCCUUGAACCAGCUAUGGUGAUAUAUCAGGUGUAGCACCCCUUUCUGGAGAAAAAGUGGCUCUCGCAACAGUAACUCAUAACUUUAUCACUGCUACUCCAAUGUGUUUUAUCUGCAACUAUCCUUGAAGACUUCCUAUCUGGUGUAGAAUGCCUUUUGCACAAGCAAGAAUAACUCAAUAAUGUAUCACCGGUAUUCAGUGCCACCUCAAGGGUGUAUGGCACUCUAGGUGCUGCCUCCCACUCAUGGGAAAUUUGCAUUCUUAGAAUGAUUUGGAAGGAAGUGUUACAACCCUAUGCUUUGGUGCCUAUCAGCUUGGUUGUUUAAUAAAG
rnacentral:lncRNA from 1 species